rnacentral:lncRNA from 1 species
GCCCCUUAUUCCUAAACUGUUGGGACCAAAACUCCCAAAAUCAAACCCAACCUUCCUUUUAUGGUCAUAAACCUUGUGUUUAAAUUUCAUAGAUUUCUAUUUACUUAAACUUAAGUUAUGGUGCGAAAACCAAGAAUAAUGCUUAUUUGGGCCCCUUUUUGGCCCCUAAUUCCUAAACUGUUGGGACCUCAACUCCCAAAAUCAAUCCCAACCUUCCUUUUGAGGUCAUAAACCUUGUGUUUAAAUUUCAUAGAUUUCUAUUUACUUAUACUUAAGUUAUGGUGCGAAAACCAAGAAUAAUGCUUAUUUGGGCCCCUUUUUGGCCCCUAAUUCCUAAACUGUUGGGACCUCAACUCCCAAAAUCAAUCCCAACCUUCCUUUUGUGGUCAUAAACCUUGUGUUUCAAUUUCACUGAUUUCUAUUUACUUUUACUAAAGUUAUUGUGCGAAAACCAAGAAUAAUGCUUAUUUGGGCCCUUUUUUGGCCCGUAAUUCCUAAAAUGUUGGGACCAAAACUCCCAAAAUCAAUCCCAACCUUCCUUUUGUGGUCAUAAACCUUGUGUCAAAAUUUCAUUGAUUUCUAUUUCCUUUUACUAAAGUUAGAGUGCAAAAACUAAAAGUAUUCGGACGACGACGACGCAAGACGACGACGACGCCAACGUGAUAGCAAUAUACAACGAAAAAUUAAAAUUUUUGCGGUCGUAUAAAAAU